UCACCUCCACAGGCUGGCCGGCCCCCAGGCUGGGCUGGGUGAGUAUCUCUUCGAAAGGCUCACCCUCAAGCAUGACCAAGAGC
rnacentral:pre_miRNA from 1 species